UUCGGAUUGCAGCAUACUAUUUCUACGAUUCGUCGCAAAUUCCGAAUGCCAAAGAGUUGCAGAAUAGGGGUGUAUAAUUGCUAACCAACAAAAGUUUGAUGAGCGCCUUCAAAAUUUGGAGAGGGCUUGUGACAAAAAUACAAUCGAUAAUACAACGCUAAUGGUUAGCAAAGUGCUACGUUCGGUCGGUCGUCUGACAGGCGAACUUGAAGACGAGAUGCAAAUAGAGAUACCUGCAACGUUGCCCUUGGCCAGUAUUGACGCAGCUAAAGAUGUCGAAGAAAAGCUGAAAAAACAGGAAUACUUCGAAUCAAUGAAAAUCUACUUGGUCCAAAUGAAAGGAAGCAACGGAACAAUUAUGGUGGAAGGAAGAAGAAGAGGGCGUUAACAAAAUUGAAGCUAAUUAACUAAGUUUUAAGCGUUUCCUUUCAGAGGUUUUCGCAACUGAAGGUCGCCAGCAGUUCGAAAAGGUGUUAAGGAAAAGCGUUGAGUUGAGUCACAAUCGCUUUCACCAAAAGAAAAAAAUAUAUGUAAAUGUUGUAUAAAUGUAAAGAAAUAAAUGUAAAUGUUAGUGUAAGAAAAUGAACCUACAUAUAUAUAUAUAUAUAUAUAUAUGUUAAAUAUACUAUGCAUACAAUACAGAGUAUAUGGAUCUAUAUAUAUAGAGUAUAAUAUGAAGGGGUUAGAAUCAUAAGGGUCUAAGUGACAUUUCUUGAAAAUAUAAGCUAUACCCAUAUUUGCAUAGUCAAAUAUAGUAUUUAUUUGGUG